GGGGUAAGAGAUAUGAGUUUUGUGUUUUUGAAUUUCUCUUUUUUGUUGUUGUGGAUUUGGGUUAGAAAGUGAUCGGCUUGAUGUAAUGCACAGAGAGGACAAGGGUGCAACUUCUUUCAGCGGAUUGAUCCCUGAAUGGGUGAAAGAUCUAGGACUGUUAUUCCUGGGUUGCUAAGAAAGGUAAAAAAGCAUAAGGAGUUGCAAAGAAAAGUGGGGAUAAGAGGGAAGCUUAUGUGGGUAG
rnacentral:lncRNA from 1 species